rnacentral:ncRNA from 1 species
UACCAACUGACUCGGCAGACUUACUCCAAGAUGGUGUAACAUAUUUAGUUAGGAGAAAAAACAUG